UACAGGGAGGUGGCAGCUGUUGGUUCGGAAUUACUGGGCGUAAAGGGCGCGUAGGCGGCCUUCUAAGUCGGACGUGAAAGCCCCAGGCUUAACCUGGGAACUGCGUCCGAUACUGGGAGGCUUGGAUUCGGGAGAGGGAUGUGGAAUUCCAGGUGUAGCGGUGAAAUGCGUAGAUAUCUGGAGGAACACCGGUGGCGAAGGCGGCAUCCUGGACCGAGAUCGACGCUGAGGCGCGAAAGCUAGGGGAGCAAACGGG
rnacentral:rRNA from 1 species